AUUGAACGCUGGCGGCAUGCUUUACACAUGCAAGUCGAACGAGUGGCGAACGGGUGAGUAAUAUAUCGGAACGUACCGAGUAAUGGGGGAUAACCAAUCGAAAGAUUGUCUAAUACCGCAUAUUUUUCGAGCGGCCGGUAACUGAUUGGCUGGUUGGUUGGGUAAGGGCCUACCAAGGCGACGAUCAGUAGCGGGUCUGAGAGGACGAUCGGCCACACUGGGACGGAGACACGGCCCAGACUCCUACGGGAGGCAGAAGUGGGGAAUUGUGGACAAUGGGGGCAACCCUGAUCCAGACAUGCCGCGUGCAUGAAGAAGGCCUUCGGGUUGUAAACUACUUUUGUUAGGGAAGCGGUACCUAAAGAAUAAGCACCGGCUAACUACGUGCCAGCAGCCGCGGUAAUAC
rnacentral:rRNA from 1 species